GCAACGACAAACCGACUCAUUUUUUUCCUUGAGCGAUGAAAAAGCCCUAUUAUUUCGGUCGGCAUGUCCCGUUUUCCGAGUUAACAGACGUCAGACCGCUCCGCGUUGUAUCUCCUCGGAGACACCUGCAAAGCUGGAAUAAUAAAGAGUUUUACAACGUUUCAAAAUGGGACUUUUUCUCGCAAUUCAGCCGCAACGUGCACUUAAGGGAUUUGAAUAUCUUAUAUGGUACGCCCCGCGACUUGGCCGCAUCGUUUACUCGGAAGAUUGUGGAAAAAUAAAUUUUGCAAAUGGAAUGAGACCGGAGUCAGCGCACAGUUAAGAUGAACGCCUCAGACAGUAUAUUUCUUCUCCUUUUUUUCUUUGGCACAUCGGGUAUAUGGCGUUGCAAGCUCUUACAAUACGUUGUACCACUAGAGGUUUAGGAAUUCGUGAAUUUUACGGAUUCUUGGAACGAAUUUCCUUAUGGGACGAUGCGGAGGGGUACCCUAACCGGUUAAAAACGUCCGUAACGUAAGAUUUUUAUUAUUUAUGUUAUAGUCUUCGUGUGAUGGCUAUACAGUGUCUAAUUUAUAGUCUACGUGAUGACGGUUAUUAUUAUUAUUCAUAUAAAUAGCUGUUUCUUUGUAUAUUAUUAUUAUAUAUUUUUUAUAAAUCAUUGUAAAUAAAAUUAAGUUGAUAACUUUGUAAA